rnacentral:rRNA from 1 species
GUGAACGCCGGCGGUAGGCCUAACACAUGCAAGUCGAACGGCAGCACAGUAAGAGCUUGCUCUUACGGGUGGCGAGUGGCGGACGGGUGAGGAAUACAUCGGAAUCUACUUUUUCGUGGGGGAUAACGUAGGGAAACUUACGCUAAUACCGCAUACGACCUACGGGUGAAAGCAGGGGAUCUUCGGACCUUGCGCGAUUGAAUGAGCCGAUGUCGGAUUAGCUAGUUGGCGGGGUAAAGGCCCACCAAGGCGACGAUCCGUAGCUGGUCUGAGAGGAUGAUCAGCCACACUGGAACUGAGACACGGUCCAGACUCCUACGGGAGGCAGCAGUGGGGAAUAUUGGACAAUGGGCGCAAGCCUGAUCCAGCCAUACCGCGUGGGUGAAGAAGGCCUUCGGGUUGUAAAGCCCUUUUGUUGGGAAAGAAAAGCAGCAGGUUAAUACCCCGCUGUUCUGACGGUACCCAAAGAAUAAGCACCGGCUAACUUCGUG